CCGGCGGGCCGUGACUGGCGUGCUGGGAUGGGACCGACCAUCGGGAAGCGGCCCCCGGACCCGUGACCCGCCGGGACCGGCCGAGUGCCGUGCGCCUGGGCCAUGCCG
rnacentral:ncRNA from 20 species